ACGCCAACAGCUUAAAAUAGAUAUCACAGCGGUGACAAAAUUGUUACCGCGGUGACAUUUUUGUCACUGCGGUAAUAAAUUUAUCACCGCGGUGAUAUAUUUGUAACUGUUGUGAUACUUUGUUUGACCCAAACAGUUUGAACUAACCAAUGAAACAACGUCUUGCAAAACGGCAAAUCGGCGAAUAUUUACUGCGAAGUUUUCAAGAUGUCUGCCUCCAUGGAUACUGUAAACAACUUUUCAGAUCAUGAGUUAGGUAAUUUUAAUCUUCGGACACAAGGAUGACGACAAUUAAGAGUCCAUCAAUGGUUGUGAAAUCAAGGAUAUUCUAUUGGAAGGAAAGACAUGAAUGCAUUCAAGUUUCCUGUGAGCAAUAUGAUUUCCUGACUUUGCCUUACAGUAUAAAACAAGAGAGUUAAACACUUGAAACUUGAAAAGAUGUGCUCCUAGAACCUGAAAUGGCAACUCCAGCUCUCUACAAAAGCAUCAUCUGGAAUCCAACUAUGUACAAUCAAAAAAUUAAUGUGUGUCUUAAUUUUGUCUUUUUAGAGCCCUGACGGGUCUUAAGAUAUCAGAUGUUUUAAAAUUCAUUGUGGUUGUAAGUUUUAUGAACUGGUUAUAAAGCUUAUGUAUGAAGAACCGUUUACUGCCUGGUUAGCUGCAGUAGAGCUCUCAUAGGAAUUGGGAGAUCUGUGGAAUCCCUUUGUGGCUUGCAAAUUUCACCUGUUUUCAAAAAUUGCUUAGUUGGUCAGUGUGUUAAUAUUUCUAUUUUCAGGUCUGGUUAAGAAAGUUAUUUAAAGGCAAUGUGCAAGGUUUUCCUUAAUAAUAGCAUGUACACAGGAAAAAAAGCUUAAUAUUAGAUAUUUUGUUAUAAUCAGUUUGUGGUCCGUCCAUAGCUAAACAUGAACAUAGAUAUUUUUUACUUUUAUUAGUACUAUAUACAUAUUAUAAAUAAAAGGUUGUAUCUUGCAUCUUCUAAUCCUUAAAGUGGCAUGGUGGCCUAGUGUGUGUGUUGUUUAUCUAUGAAAUUUAUACAUGUAUACUAAUAUCUAGGCUACAUUAUGAUGUACUACUCAAAGAACAGUAUGUUUAAAAUGCAGGUUUAUACUAAUUUAAAUACAGGUACAAAUUAAUCCUGUGUUGUAUAUAGCAGAAUGUCCCUUAUUUUCACUGUUAUCUUUUAAAACUGUUCAGGUACACUUCACCUGCAUAAAACUAGUUCAGAUAUAUAUGUCCCAUAGAGCAAAACAAUUGUCACUAAAUCAUUGUAUAAUCGUUAUUGGCAGUUCACUUCUGUAGUUUCUGAAAUGAAAAAUUGUUGUUACCUACCUUCACUCUUAAUUUAGUUUUAGUAGAAUGCUUAAUUUCAUUUUUUUUCUUUAUUAGUUGUAAGUAGUGGGCUCUGUGUUCUGAUUAGUUCCUAAAUUGAACACAUGUUUAAACGUCGGUUGUUAAAUUGUAUAACAUGUUAAUGCAAAAUUGUACCAUAACAUGAAAUUGUAUUUUUUGCUUUGUACAUUGUUUGAAAUGUUACCAUCUUGUUUCUAAUAAAUGUUUUUUAUAA